UGGGGAAUUUUGGACAAUGGGCGAAAGCUGAUCCAGCCAUGCCGCGUGCAGGAUGAAGGCCUUCGGGUUGUAAACUGCUUUUGUACGGAACGAAAAGACUCCUUCUAAUAAAGGGGGUCCAUGACGGUACCGUAAGAAUAAGCACCGGCUAACUACGUG
rnacentral:rRNA from 1 species